rnacentral:lncRNA from 1 species
UUAUACAAGACUCAGCUGAGUCCACUCAAAUUCAGCUAUGUUACGGUGCUACCUGACUCGGUCCACGGCGAAGUCCAAGGCUUUAGCCGAUUUUCAAAACAUCGGUGUAUAUGCCUUGUAAAAAUUUAGCACUCCUUCCUAACUCCUGUAACUAAUGUAUUUUUUAAUAAUAAAAAACCAUCAUUGAGAAUAAAAAAUAUCUAAUAUGACAAUUCAUUUUUAUAGUAUAAAUGCGAAUAAACUUUAUUUGUUAGGUGCUUGCAGCAUUAUAAAUUAUCUCUCAGAACCAUUGAAUUUAAAUUAUUUGAAUUUUGGAAAGUGAGAUAGCCCCACAAGGAUAGAGAGUUCAU